CACAGCACUACAGUGCUCCACUACUCUACACUUGAAGCUAAAAAUUCUCUCUUCAAAGAGGGUUUACAAGGGUUUUCAGAUUCCCAAAUUCAAAAACCUAAAUCCAACUUCUAAUCCAAUACCGAUCAAUCCUUCCUCGCUGCCUAGGGUUUCUACUUGUGAUCGAUCGAUUUCUGUGCUUGUCGUCUCAUUUAACUCCGUUUCUUCUUCGAUGCUUUUAGUAUGUUUCGCUCCGAACCCUAGAAUUCAACGCGACCAAAGGAGGAAUAAGAAGUGAGAUGGAUGAUAUAUGGGUGAGUGAAUGGUGCUAUUGAAUGCUAAUAUGUAAUGUUAAGUGAUAUGAGGUAUUGAAUAUGAGCCAUGGAGGUGGGGAGAGUGGAAGAUUGCAUGAAAAAGUAGGGCAUAAUGGUAAGAGAAAAUCCCGUGCAAGUGGAGAUGAAUUUGCUCGAGCGAUUGGGAAGAUUGCUGUAGCGCAAAUGUGUGAGAGUAUGGGUUUUCAGUCCUUUCAGCACUCUGCUCUUGAGACGUUUACUGAUGUUACUACUUGGUAUAUACGGAAUAUAGGAAAGGCUGCUCAGUUGUGUGCUAAUUUAGCUGGUAGGACGGAGAGCAAUGUUUUUGAUGUUAUACAAGGAUUGGAAGAGUUGGGUUUGCCACAGGGGUUUGCUGGUGCUUCAGAUGUUGACCAUUGUCUUGCAAGUUCGGGUAUUGUUAGGGAGAUUGCUCAGUAUAUUGGUGAUGCAGAUGAUAUCCCAUUUGCUUAUUCUAUUCCUCCUUUCCCAGUUGCUAGAGAAAGGAAGCCUGCGCCAAGUUUUUCCCAGAUUGGUGAGGAGCCUCCUGAGGAGCACAUUCCAGCUUGGUUACCUGCAUUUCCUGAUCCUCAGACUUAUGCUCAGCUGCUGGAAGGGAAUGAAGGGCGUGCUGAUUUAAAUGCAGAUAGUAUUGAGUCUUUAAGGCAGCGCCAGAAGAUGGAUGUGUCUUACAUGAAUUUGCCACAGCAGUUUAAUUGCAAUGGUUCCGAAGGACCUUCCUCUGUUGCAUUUGGUGACAGUGCUAAGGCAACACAAAGGACUGUGAGUAACCCGUUUCUUGCUGCUCCUCUGCAAUUCGGAGUGAAGGAAGUGUCCCAUGUUGUUCCUCCAGCUAAGCUUUCAGAUGAAGCAGCUGUGAGAUAUCCCGUUGAGCAAACCCGUACCAUGGAUAACAAUAUGUCAGUGAUGGCGACAUUUGCUCCUGCCAUUGAAGCUAUGAAGAGUAGGUUAUGUGAUUCUGAGGAGGGACAGAAGAAGGUGUUUUUCAAUCAAAGACCUGCUGUGCAAUUUAAGAUUGGGAUUGGAAGGAAUUCCCUGGAUGGAGCUCCAGAUUUGAGCCUUCAGAACAGGGUUAUCAAGAAGAUCAACAUGUGGUCUGGGAAAGAUAGUGAGAAUGAUGAUCAGAAAAGGAGAGCUGAGACAAUUCUAAAGCAAUCGAUGGAUAACCCUGGUGAACUGGCUCAGUUGUAAAUUAGAAAUUGUACACUUGUUUAGGAAACUGGCAACAGAAUCAGGUUCCAGAGUAGUUAAGAUUGUGGCCAUGUUGUUAUCAGCACAUGGCUCUAAAAAACAAGAAUUACGAACUACAAUAGAGAAUUGUUCUCACUUUAGCAAGUUUUGGAGUGUUUUCAGGAGAGUCUUCUGUCUCACAAGGAUCAUGGAGGCAGAACAACAUCAACAAAAUGUUUACCAAGUUUUUGUUUCUUAACAACUUUCUUGGAACAUAUGACUUUCCAAUUCUCGUGUAUGAACGUUUCUUUCCUUUGCUUGAUGAUGUCUUCCUUUUAGACUUCUCAAGAAUGUUUCCCUUUUAGCAAUC